UCCGUGGCGACGUGGAAUCGGUAGGAAGCAGGCGGCAAACUUCCAGCCUGCGGAAUACGAACUUCAUAGGAGGCUAGGUAUUAUUGGGGAAGUUUGCCGCAACAAAAUAAAGCUCUUUCUGCCGAAGGUAAUGCCAAGUAAAUAAAGCAGACGUAUACUGAACGGUACGUAC
rfam:Geobacillus sp. WCH70, complete genome.